ACGUCGAGCGGUAACAGAUCCAGCUUGCUGGAUGCUGACGAGCGGCGGACGGGUGAGUAACGCAUAGGAAUUUACCCGGUAGUGGGGGAUAACCUGGGGAAACUCAGGCUAAUACCGCAUACGUCCUACGGGAGAAAGGGGGCUUUGGCUCCCGCUAUCGGAUGAGCCUAUGCCGGAUUAGCUGGUUGGUGAGGUAAUGGCUCACCAAGGCGACGAUCCGUAGCUGGUCUGAGAGGAUGAUCAGCCACAUCGGGACUGAGACACGGCCCGAACUCCUACGGGAGGCAGCAGUGGGGAAUAUUGGACAAUGGGGGCAACCCUGAUCCAGCCAUGCCGCGUGUGUGAAGAAGGCCCUCGGGUUGUAAAGCACUUUCAGCGAGGAAGAACGCCUGGUGGUUAAUACCCGCCAGGAAAGACAUCACUCGCAGAAGAAGCACCGGCUAACUCCGUGCCAGCAGCCGCGGUAAUACGGAGGGUGCAAGCGUUAAUCGGAAUUACUGGGCGUAAAGCGCGCGUAGGUGGCUUGAUAAGCCGGUUGUGAAAGCCCCGGGCUCAACCUGGGAACGGCAUCCGGAACUAUGAGGCUAGAGUGCAGGAGAGGAAGGUAGAAUUCCCGGUGUAGCGGUGAAAUGCGUAGAGAUCGGGAGGAAUACCAGUGGCGAAGGCGGCCUUCUGGACUGACACUGACACUGAGGUGCGAAAGCGUGGGUAGCAAACAGGAUUAGAUACCCUGGUAGUCCACGCCGUAAACGAUGUCGACCAGCCGUUGGGUGCCUAGCGCACUUUGUGGCGAAGUUAAC
rnacentral:rRNA from 1 species